rnacentral:lncRNA from 1 species
UUAGACUGUCCAUGGUUAAAAAGAAAAAGUCAGCCAUACACCAAAUAAAACAUCCCUGAGCAGUGAGCAUUCAAAAUUUAAUCACACCUCCCCCUUCCCCAGAGACACCUCGCUGGGUGAUUUCAAUCUACACAAAAGGUGUUUUGGACAUUCAUUUGGAUUCUAGAAAUGGCUUAUGUUGCUGCUGGCUUAGUGGGAGCAACUUCAUCCAUCACUUGGAGUAAAUAUGCAACGGAGCUAUUUCAUUUAAAGAUGGAAUGUAAAUUGAGCGUCAAAACUAAGAAUGGCAAUUUUACAUAAGCUCAAAAUGCUCCGGAGGUCGCCCACAGUCGAGGAAUAAGAGGUUGAAGAAAAAUACACUUACAUAUAGAUAGCACUUGUGAAGAAUCUUUUAAUCCGCAAAAGUGUUACUGUAUCCUUUUAAACCGUUCUUUACUUAUUUUC